rnacentral:rRNA from 1 species
GAGGGUUUUACUGUCUCUUACUUCCAAUCAGUGAAAUUGACCUUCCCGUGAAGAGGCGGGAAUAAAAAAAUAAGACGAGAAGACCCUAUGGAGCUUUAAUUAACUAUUCCAAAAAACAAUUCAACCACAAGGGAAAAAUAACUUAACAUGGACUAGCAAUUUCGGUUGGGGUGACCUCGGAGUACAAAAAACCCUCCGAGUGAUUUUAAUGACUAGACAAACCAGUCAAAUAACCAUAACAUCAAUUGAUCCAAAAGAUCAACGGAACAAGUUACCCUAGGGAUAACAGCGCAAUCCUAUUCUAGAGUUCCUAUCGACAAUAGGGUUUACGACCUCGAUGUUGGAUCAGGACACCCAAAUGGUGCAACCGCUAUUAAAGGUUCGUUUGUUC